rnacentral:rRNA from 1 species
GCUUUACACAUGCAAGUCGAACGGUAGGGGGGGCAACCCCUCGAGAGUGGCGAACGGGUGAGUAAUAUAUCGGAACGUGCCCAGUCGUGGGGGAUAACGUAGCGAAAGUUACGCUAAUACCGCAUACGAUCUACGGAUGAAAGCGGGGGACCGUAAGGCCUCGCGCGAUUGGAGCGGCCGAUAUCAGAUUAGGUAGUUGGUGGGGUAAAGGCUCACCAAGCCAACGAUCUGUAGCUGGUCUGAGAGGACGACCAGCCACACUGGAACUGAGACACGGUCCAGACUCCUACGGGAGGCAGCAGUGGGGAAUUUUGGACAAUGGACGCAAGUCUGAUCCAGCCAUUCCGCGUGCAGGAUGAAGGCCCUCGGGUUGUAAACUGCUUUUGUACGGAACGAAAAGGUCUCUCUUAAUACGAGGGGCUCAUGACGGUACCGUAAGAAUAAGCACCGGCUAACUACGUGCCAGCAGCCGCGGUAAUACGUAGGGUGCAAGCGUUAAUCGGAAUUACUGGGCGUAAAGCGUGCGCAGGCGGUUAUGUAAGACAGAGGUGAAAUCCCCGGGCUCAACCUGGGAACUGCCUUUGUGACUGCAUAGCUAGAGUACGGUAGAGGGGGAUGGAAUUCCGCGUGUAGCAGUGAAAUGCGUAGAUAUGCGGAGGAACACCGAUGGCGAAGGCAAUCCCCUGGACCUGUACUGACGCUCAUGCACGAAAGCGUGGGGAGCAAACAGGAUUAGAUACCCUGGUAGUCCACGCCCUAAACGAUGUCAACUGGUUGUUGGGUCUUCACUGACUCAGUAACGAAGCUAACGCGUGAAGUUGACCGCCUGGGGAGUACGGCCGCAAGGUUGAAACUCAAAUGAAUUGACGGAAGGGCGAAU